rnacentral:rRNA from 1 species
UACGAAGGGGGCUAGCGUUGCUCGGAAUCACUGGGCGUAAAGGGUGCGUAGGCGGGUCUUUAAGUCAGGGGUGAAAUCCUGGAGCUCAACUCCAGAACUGCCUUUGAUACUGAGGAUCUUGAGUUCGGGAGAGGUGAGUGGAACUGCGAGUGUAGAGGUGAAAAUUCGUAGAUAUUCGCAAGAACACCAGUGGCGAAGGCGGCUCACUGGCCCGAUACUGACGCUGAGGCACGGAAAAGCGUGGGGGAGCAAACAGGGA